rfam:Medicago truncatula strain A17 chromosome 7, whole genome shotgun sequence.
UUAGGUUUUCUUCAUUUUCUUCUGGGAUUAUUUUUGUUGAAGAUUGAUGGAGAUGAUAUGAAGAUGAAAAGGACGAUAAA